ACCUGGUUGAUCCUGCCAGUAGUCAUAUGCUUGUCUCAAAGAUUAAGCCAUGCAUGUAUAAGUAUAAAUUUGUUUAUGGUGAAACUGCGAAUGGCUCAUUACAACGGUUUUAGUUUACUUGAGAUAUAACUACUGGAUAACCGUAGUAACUCUAGAGCUAAUACAUUUAUCGGGACGUUAGUCUCGUGUUUAUUAGAUUUCACCGAACAGAUUUUUCUGUUGGGGAGUCAUGAUAAAUUAACGAAUCGCUUUUACGAUGCUUCAAACAAGUUUCCGUCCCAUCAGUUUGUUGGUUGUGUAUUGGACUACCAAAACACUUACGGGUAACGAGGAAUUGGGGUUCGAUUUCGGAGAGGGAGUCUGAGAAACGGCUACCACAUCUACGGAAGGCAGCAGGCGCGCAAAUUACCCAAUGUAAAUAUGUAUGAGGUAGUGACAAGAAAUAUCAAAGCGAACUUAUGUUUGCUAUUGAAAUGGGUAAAAUUUAAACAAUUUUACGAGGAGCAACUGGAGGGCAAGUCUGGUGCCAGCAGCCGCGGCAACACCAGCUCCAGUAGCGUAUAUUAAAGUUGUUGCAGUUGAAACGCUCGUAGUCUGAAUUUAAUCCGAAAGGAAAUAAUCGCUCGCCUCACUAGCCACCUGGCUGGUGAGUAUACGACGAUUUUUCACCUUGAUGAAUCUAGAGUGUUCAAGGCAGGCCAAGCCUGAAUAGCUCCGCAUGGAAUGAGACGAAAAUAUUUAUCUUGUUUCGGUGCUUGAUAAUGAUAAUAUCUUUAGGAACAGUCGAGGGCAUUUGUACUUAAUCGAGAGAGGUGAAAUUCUUGGACCGAUUAAUGACAAACAAAAGCGAAGGCAUCUGCCAAGGAUGUUUUCUUUGAUCAAGAACGAAGGUCAGGGUAUCGAAGACGAUCAGAUACCGUCGUAGUCCUGACUGUAAACUAUGCCGACUGGGGUUCAAUGAUACAGAUUAUGAUGUCGUUGGGAUCCAGAGAGAAAUCAAAGUUUUUGGGUUCUGGGGGAAGUAUGGUCACAAGGCAGAAACUUGAAGGAAUUGACGGAAGGGCACCACCAGGCGUGGAGCUUGCGGCUUAAUUUGACUCAACGCGGGGAAACUUACCAGGUCAAAACAUGCGAAGGAUUGACAGGCUGAUAGUCCUUUCUCGAUUGCAUGGCUGGUGGUGCAUGGCCGUUCUUAGUUGGUGGACUGAUCUGUCUGGUUAAUUCCGGUAACGAACGAGACCUUGGCCUGCUAACUAGAUUACGUACUUCUGUGCGUAAAGCUUCUUAGAGGGACAAUGGUGGUUACAUCACUGAAGCUCAAGGUAAUAACAGGUCUGUUAUGCCCUUAGAUGUCCUGGGCCGCACGCGUGCUACACUGAUACAGACAACAAGUUCCCUGCUCCGAAAGGCAGUAGGUAAUCUCUAAUCUGUAUCGUGAUGGGGAUAGAUCUUUGCAAUUAUAGAUCUUGAACGAGGAAUUCCUAGUAAGCGUAAGUCAACAGCUUACGCUGAUUACGUCCCUGCCCUUUGUACACACCGCCCGUCGCUCCUACCGAUUUCGAGUGAUCCGGUGAACCUUUCGGACUGCUUCGGUUUCCGAGGCGGAAAGUCAAGUAAACCAAAUCACUUAGAGGAAGGAGAAGUCGUAACAAGGUUUCCGUAGGUGAACCUGCAGAAGGAUCA
rnacentral:rRNA from 1 species